UAGGGAAUCUUCCGCAAUGGACGAAAGUCUGACGGAGCAACGCCGCGUGAGUGAUGAAGGUUUUCGGAUCGUAAAACUCUGUUGUUAGGGAAGAACAAGUACCGGAGUAACUGCCGGUACCUUGACGGUACCUAACCAGAAAGCCACGGCUAACUACGUGCCAGCAGCCGCGGUAAUACGUAGGUGGCAAGCGUUGUCCGGAAUUAUUGGGCGUAAAGCGCGCGCAGGCGGUUCUUUAAGUCUGAUGUGAAAGCCCACGGCUCAACCGUGGAGGGUCAUUGGAAACUGGGGAACUUGAGUGCAGAAGAGGAAAGUGGAAUUCCAAGUGUAGCGGUGAAAUGCGUAGAGAUUUGGAGGAACACCAGUGGCGAAGGCGACUUUCUGGUCUGUAACUGACGCUGAGGCGCGAAAGCGUGGGGAGCAAACAGGAUUAGAUACCCUGGUAGUCCACGCCGUAAACGAUGAGUGCUAAGUGUUAGAGGGUUUCCGCCCUUUAGUGCUGCAGCAACGCAUUAAGCACUCCGCCUGGGGAGUACGACCGCAAGGUG
rnacentral:rRNA from 1 species